GAUGAACGCUGACAGAAUGCUUAACACAUGCAAGUCGAUGGGGAAGUGGUGCUUGCACCAUGGUAACCAUGACGGACGGGUGAGUAACGCGUAAGGAACUUACCUGCGGGACCGGGAUAACAGCAGGAAACUGCUGACAAGACCGGAUAAGGUCAUUAAGCUGCAUAGCUUAGUGAUGAAAGGAGACGCCUGCGGAGAGCCUUGCGUCCUAUUAGCUAGUUGGAGGGGUAACGGCCCACCAAGGCGAAGAUAGGUAGCCGGCCUGAGAGGGUGGACGGCCACAAGGGGACUGAGAUACGGCCCUUACGCCUACGGGAGGCAGCAGUGGGGAAUAUUGGACAAUGGGGGCAACCCUGAUCCAGCAAUUCUGUGUGCACGAAGACGGUUUUCGGAGUGUAAAGUGCUUUCAGCAGGGAAGAAGGAAGUGACGGUACCUGCAGAAGAAGCGACGGCUAAAUACGUG
rnacentral:rRNA from 1 species